UGGAGAUCUGCCGCCCAGGCCUCCCGGGGCCUAGGAGACGGGGUCCCAGCUCCACCUCUUCAUCUGCUUCCCGCGACGCUGGCGACCUCUGACCCCGCCCUCCCUGCCGACUGCGCGGUCCGCGACCCCCGGGCCCCUGGCCUUUGGCCGUCGGCCAGGCGUUCCUGCCCGUGGCUCCCUCUUUGCUUUCCGGGGAUGGCGCUGGGGAGUGGGGCGCGAGAGCGCGACCAAGCACAGUCCCGUCCUGCUCAGGUGGCCCGCGAAGCCUGCCGACUCCUCUCCACCGCACAAGUCCCCUUCUCUUCGCCUGUUUCUUUCUGGAGCUGGUGGGGGGAGGCUGGCUUCUACCUUCCUGGGGGGACCCCAGCUCCAGGUCCUGUUUGGGUUCUCUGGGGGCUCCAGAUGAUAUAUAUCCACACUGGCGUUCUUGUGCCUCAGUUUCCCUCUUGUUGGCUUCCUGAACAAGUCACUUGGGAGAGAGAGUUGAAGGUGUGUAGUGGGGGGUGAGGAAUGUUCCUGGUACAGGAGUGGAUGAGUCACCCCCAGUUGGGGAAGGCCGGAGAGUAGCUGGAGUGAGGGAACUGCACUCUGCUGACCUCCCUUCCUCUUUCCUUGGCCCCCUUUUUUCCUGAGUGACCAUUCUCCACCCAGUCUGGUUUAUCUUCCUAGGUCUGAGAGUCAUUGGAACUAUCACAACCACCAUGGGGCCCUGGGGAGAGCCAGAGCUCCUGGUGUGGCGCCCAGAGGCAGUGGCUUCGGAGCCCUCCGUGCCUGUGGGGCUAGAGGUGAAGUUGGGGGCCCUGGUGCUGCUGCUGGUGCUCACCCUCCUCUGCAGUCUGGUACCUAUCUGUGUGCUGCGCCGGCCGGGAGCUAACCAUGAAACCUCGGGUGAGCCUCUCCUUUCCCUGCCUUUUGGAUGUUUGGAGUAGCUAAUGUUCUGGGGCUGGGGAGGUAACCUAAGGAGGAGGGGAAGGCAGAAGUAACCAUUACUUGGGUUGAGUAGUGGGGCCUGCAAGUGGUUCAUUUGCUCAUUCCCCUCUGUGUCCCCCUCCUGCCCAGCUUCACGCCAGAAAGUCCUGAGUCUAGUAAGCUGCUUCGCAGGAGGUGUAUUCUUGGCCACCUGUCUCCUGGACCUGUUGCCUGACUACCUAGCUGCCAUAGAUGAGGCACUGGCGGCACUGCAUGUAACGGUGAGCACUGGCCUCUAGCAUGUGACCCAGUGUGUUGGGGCUGGUCCAUGGUUUAUGUGGAUUUGUUCAUGUGUCAUUCCAUGACUGUGUGCAAGGCUCUUGGUAUGUGAGCCUACGAGUUGUGAUAUUCUGUUAUAGGGCCUAACUUUUUCUGUGUGUUCCUUACUCCUUACCAGACCCUGUGUGGCCCUUGUACCCCUUGAGACAGUGUGAGGAACCUGUUAUCAGGUGUUUGACUUAAGCUGUGGGUUUCCUAGUUCCAGUUGCCAGGUAGAUAAUAGUGCUCCAGGAGCCAUCAUCACUCCUGCCACUCUCAAAGGGCUGUAGAUAAAUGUUACUUCAGGAAUGGGACGUGUAGGAGGCACUUCCCAGGGGCCUAGAAUUGCUAACCAAAAAGCUUUACCCUGAGGAAUUGGGAUGUGGAGAAUGAUCAAAUCCAAGUCAUAGAAAGCUCAUUAUAGGAAAAACUGAGACAGUGGGGUAGUAAUGCAGGGAAGUCAUCCCAAGCUCCUCCAUUUCCUUUUCCCCCACUAAGACUAAGGAAGUAACACUGGAUGUAAUGUUCUGUAUUUUGUGGCUAAAUGACUAUACAAGCCUGAAUGUCCUGGGACACUCAUGUGAGCAUUUGUUAAGGUGGGCUGGUGUGCUACAGGUGACACUUUGUGUAUAUUUACAUCAGUGACUCUCAAUUGGGGGUGGUUUCAGCCCCCAGAAAACAUUUGGUAAUGUAUGGAGACCUUUUUGGUUGCCACAGCUAGGUUGGGAAGGGGUAUUGUGCUUGCUGAUGGCAUCUGGUGGGUAAACAAUCUACAGUGGACCUAACAGCUCUAUGACGAAGAAUUUUCUGGCCCAAUUGUUAAUAGUGCCAUAGUUGAGAUCCUUUGGUCACACUGUGUGUGACACCAUAUCGUGUUUGUUAUUCUAUGUCUGUCACCAAGGAACUUCAUUGUUUUAUGACCAAGAGUGGCUCUGUGUCUGUGUGGGACUUUGCGUAAGUGCACCUCCAUCAGACUCUGCAUCUGACUCCAUCUCUCUCCUGCCCACAGCUCCAAUUUCCCCUGCAAGAGUUCAUCCUGGCCAUGGGCUUCUUCCUAGUCCUGGUGAUGGAGCAGAUCACGCUGGCUUACAAGGAGCAGUCGGGGCCACCACAUCGGGAGGAGACAAGGGCUCUGCUGGGAACAGUGAAUGGUGGGCCCCAGCAUUGGCAUGAUGGGCCAGGGGUUCCACAGGCUAGUGGAGCCCUGGCAGCCCCCUCAGCCCUGCGUGCCUGUGUGCUGGUCUUCUCCCUGGCCCUGCACUCAGUUUUUGAGGGGCUGGCAGUGGGGCUGCAGAGAGACCGGGUUCGGGCCAUGGAACUGUGCCUGGCUCUGCUGCUCCACAAGGGUAUCCUGGCAGUCAGCCUGUCCCUGCGGCUGCUGCAGAGCCACCUACGAGUGCAGGUGGUGGUUGGCUGUGGAAUCCUCUUCUCAUGCAUGACACCUCUGGGCAUUGGGCUGGGUGCAGCUCUGGCAGAGUCAGCUGGGCCUCUGCACCAGCUGGCUCAGUCUGUGCUGGAGGGUAUGGCGGCUGGCACCUUCCUCUAUAUCACCUUCCUGGAAAUCCUGCCCCAGGAGCUGGCCACUUCUGAGCAGAGAAUCCUCAAGGUCAUUCUGCUCCUAGCAGGCUUUGCUCUUCUCACUGGUCUGCUCUUUGUCCAAAUCUAGGGGACUUCAAGAGAGGGGCAGGGGAAGUUAACUACCAGGUGCCCUUAUCUUCCCUCCUCUCCCCCGGCGUGUAAGGAAUAGGAAGGAAUGGGGACAGGAGGUAUUGAGGACCAAAGAGUUCUCUGGAAGGUAGGGAUGUAGCCUUUGGAACUAUGACUAAUGAGAGGGAAGUGGGCAGAGAAGAAGCUGGCCUAAGGAACAAGAUAUGGCCAAGUCACUAGAGACAUGAUCAGGGGAUAUUAGGAUUGAGACAGACCCCGAUUGCUAGAUCAGAAGUCCAACACUACGAAUAGGGAUAAGCUGACACUGGGAAUGCUGGUGAUGGGCACCCAGCUACUGUGUAAUAAAGGUAGGGAGAGGUCCAGGGUCAGUGUCCUGUUGGCUCAAGCUCGUUUCAGCAUUCUGCUGCUAGGAGUGGAUCCUUCCUACUUUUCUUACCUCCUAUCUUUCUCCUUCCCUUCCUCCAGUGGAGUAGUGCCAAAUGGUCUCUCCCUGCCAGUUUUGAUAACUUCUCUGGCCUCUCCAGCUCCAAUCACUCCUCUAUUUUUAAAGUGCCAAACAAAUCCUUUCCCUCUUUCUCAAAGCACAGCGAUGUGGCACAGGGUCCUACCCAGCACCCCAGUGGAGGAGACCUACUUGCUCUUAAUUUUAGUUCCAGAAUCUGGUGUGGGGCAGAAAUAUUUGCUGGGAUGGAUUGGGUGAGGGGAGAGCUGCGGCCACCUAGUAGCUGCUGCACCCUAAGUAUACAAACAUGGUCAUGGUGCCUCAUUCCCGAUGAUAAACACUGAGCUGCCAAAACUUUUUUUAUACCUGAGGAGCCCAAGGGAGAAUGGUUAUUUGGGGGGAGGGGGGGACUGAGCAUAGGGCCAUAUUCUGUAGAAUCUAUUUUACUAACUGACCUGUUUUGGGACAUGUUACCCAAAUAAAAAAUGUUUCUAUACAUCUCUGUGGUAUCG
rnacentral:lncRNA from 1 species